AUUAAUUGUACUGCAUUUUUUUUGUCGUCAAUAUAUGGUUGUUAUUCUUAUUAAUGUUCAUUCAAGUUUUUGUAUUAUAUUAUUAAAGUUAUUUAGUUUUUUUUGUGGCUUGUAUGAUGUGUUUAGUAUAUGUGGUUUCGUUAUUAGUAUUGAUUGCUUCGUUUUGUUUUUUUAAAUACAUAUGGCUGUUCGUUUUUUUUGUCCUUAUGAUGUAUUCUCCCCAAUUUGAGGUCCCAAGUUCAUAGACAUUCUCAAGGCAGUUCAGAAUGAAUGGAUGUACAGUCCCGCUUGUGCAGCUCACCAUUAAAGAGAAUGACAUGGCGAUCAUGAAGUGCCGCUUAAACCAGAGAAUUGGCUUUCUGCUCUGUUCGCACUCAUCCGAGUAAUGGCUUUCCGCUCUGGCGCGCUUGUUCGCACUCCCCUGCUCUGACGUUCUUCUCUGCUCGAGCGCGCCUCUCUGCCCUGUCACGCUUCUCUGCUCUGGCGUGCACUCCGCUGCUCUGGAGCGACUUCUCUGCUCUGGAGUGACUUCUCUGCUCUGGAGCGACUUCGCUGCUCUGGAAAGACUUCUCUGCUCUGGAAAGACUUCGCUGCUCUGGAAAGACUUCGCUGCUCUGGAAAGACUUCGCUGCUGUGGAUCGACUUCGCUGCUCUGGAGCGACUUCGCUGCUCUGAAGCGACUUCGCUGCUCUGGAGUGACUUUUCUGCUCUGGAAAGACUUCGCUGCUCUGGAGCGACUUCUCUGCUCUGGAGCGACUUCGCUGCUCUGGAGCGACUUCUCUGCUCUGGAGCGACUUCGCUGCUCUGGAGCGAUUUCGCUGCUCGGGCCCGGCUGUCACCCACGGCGGCUCUGUUCUUUACUGUCUUGUUUUAGUUUGUUUUUCGCUUUGGGUGUUGUUUUUUCCUCGCUUUGGGGUUUUUCUGACUUUUGCCUUGUUAGCGCUUGUGCUCUCAAGGGUUUUAUUUUUUCUUUAAUAAAAUUUUUAUUUCAGCA